GAGGUUCCUGGACCAUAGCCAGCAGCCUAUCCUCCAAUGACACUGCAGGUGCUGAGGCCCUCUUGCGCGCGGCAGGUUUGGAAAACAAUGACCUACCCUGCUGGUUGAAAAUGUUGAUCUGGUUGGGAGUGUUGGUCGUUUUUAUCCCGCACAUCCUCUCCAUGGCUCAGGUCCAAUGCCUCCCGAUCUUCAACGUCAACCUGGUCAAGGCUGCUUCUAGAGCUAAAACAUAAAUUAAAUGCACAGAUUCCUUGCCACCGGAGAGUCCUUUAGGAGUCUGGCUUUUGCCUACAGGCUAGGACGCAAAACUGUGGCAGACUCUGUCUAGAUGACAUGUAGGGCAAUUUUCAUCAAGAGGAUGGAGACCCAAAUGCCGAGACCAACCGAGGCAGCAUGGAGAGAUAUAGCAGAGCGCUUUUGGGGAAGAUGGCAAUUCCCAAAUUGCAUCGGAGCCAUAGACGGGAAACACAUAGUCAUCCAAGCUCCAAAAAAAGUAAUGUAGCCAGUUUUAAUUUUAAUUAUAAAAAAAAAACAUUCUCAAUCAUCUUGUUGGCACUAAUGGAUGCAGAUUCAAGAUUUAGAAUUGUUGAAGUUGGCGAUUUUGGCCGUGCUAGUGACGGUGGGGUGUUCGCCAAUUCAGCACUGGGGAGGGGAAUGAAUGAAAAAAGUUGAAAUGUGCCAGAAGACGCCCCCCCCUGCCUGAAUAAGGUCAGCACGGUGACGUGCCUUUCAUGAUGAUAGGGGAUGCUGCGUUUCCUUUAAAACGCUACCUCAUGAGACCCUACCCUGGCAGCAACCUUUCAAGGCCAAAGAAGAACAUUAUUACAGGCUAUCAAGGGCAAGAAUGACUGUGGAGUGUGCGUUGGGCAUUCAAGAA